rnacentral:lncRNA from 1 species
CUAGAACUGGCCCCUGGGAUUUGCUGCUCAGAACCUGAGUUCACUGAGACAUCAGGAGCAAGCACUGGAGGCCGGGUGCUGCUGGACCCAGAUGGGAGCCAUGCAGGACUUGACCAUGGCCUGCACACACUUCUUCCCAGGAGAAGGGGAAUGAGGAAGAACUAGAUCCUAAGAGCAGAAGACAAUCAUAUGUCCUGAGAACCCAUUGGAGGUUGAACAGCGCUGGGUGGAUGGAGAAAGGCAGAAAUGCAGAAUUUCGUCAUUGCCUGGAUGCUGACUUUAUCCAAAGAGAAGAUGCAUGAGGAGUGUACAUGCCUCAGAACUGGAUGCUGAGACAUGCCCCCGCGAUCCCAAGACCACCAGGUACCGUGAGCAAUCACUGGAGCUGGAACACUGCUGCCUGAGGAAGAGAAGAAGUGCAGGCUUGUCAUUGUCUAUGCUGUUACUUGUGGUUCCCGGGUCUUCAGAGAGGAUGCACAAGAACGGGAGAACCGGCCCCUGGGAUUUGCUGCUCAGGACCCGAGUUCAGUGAGACAUCAGGAGCAAGCACUGGAGGCCGGUGCUGCUGGACCCAGAUGGGAGCCAUGCAGGACUUGACCAUGGCCUGCACACACUUCUUCCCAGGAGAAGGGGAAUGAGGAAGAACUGGACCAGAAGAUUUAACUUCCAUACCACAAGCACUGGGGUAGAAGACUGCUGCUGGGUGAAGAAGAGACUAGACUUGAUCAUUGAGCAGCCACUCACUGAUAUCUUCAGUGCUGCAUGAGGAAGCAGAGUUUAUUCUUCUGGAUUUGGUGGUGGAUUCUGGUGAAGAUACAGAUGGAUGCUCUGGCUGAGUCGCUACCUUGAAAUGAAAAUGGGAGGACUGGCCCCUGGGAUUUUCUGCUCAGGACCCGAGUUCACUGAGACAUCAGGAGCAAGCACUGGAGGCCGGUGCUGCUGGACCCAGAUGGGCGCCAUGCAGGACUUGACCAUGGCCUGCACACACUUCUUCCCAGGAGAAGGGGAAUGAGGAAAGUGGGGGGCCUCAAAGCUUCCUUUCCUUUCUGUUUGUCUUGCUAUGUUUUUAUAUUCCUUUUUAUCCAUUUAAUUAUUUAGUACAAAAUCAGGUCCAGUCUCCUUAGAUAUGGCAUUGAUAUAAAGUGUAAAAUGGAAGCUAAAUUCUAGGAGUACAGCAUUGCAUGCUUCUGACAGAGACAAGGAAGGCUAGAAUCACACAGUUAGUGGACACUGCAACUAUAUUGACAUUUUUUUUUUUUUAGACUGUGAAGGUGGGGACAGAUUGCUGCACUCAGAACACCUUCCCUGCUCUGGGGAAACAAACACUGUCAUCAUGGGGAAAAUGUUUCCUGUAGACCCACACAAGCACACACCCCUCCUCCUACAUCCAGCUUCUCCUCAGCCAUUUUGAAGCAGGGAAGAUCAGGGGGAUUCAUGAAUGGCGAAAUUUGGCCUUUUUUAGUGUAUUUCUCUCCUUCUGUAGGCAGACUGGCAUCACCUGACCCUUCAGAGUAUUAACUCAGACCCUGGUGACUGAGGUCCAGUACCAAGUGCUCAGCUGGGCUGCGGUGCAGGGACAGGAAGCAGAAGGGCAGAUUCAACCCCCCUCAGCUGGCCAUGCUAAUCUACUAGCUGGUGUCCUAGGGCAGCAAGGCGCCUCCCUCUCCAGGAUCUGAUGAGAAAACACUGCAGUUCCAGUUUCUUUCGGGGCUUGAAGAGAAGUCAAGGAAGCCCUGCAAGGCACUCACAGCUGAUCAUGCUUUCUGUAAUCGCCCUCCAUCUUCCUUCAUUGCUAGGAAUCAUUGGAAGGACAACAGCGGAGCUGUGAGUUUUGAAACCGCGUCCUCAUGGGGGCAGUAGAGGUCCACACAAGAGCUUAACUGGCCCCUGGGAUUUGCUGCUCAGAACCUGAGUUCACUGAGACAUCAGGAGCAAGUACUGGAGGCCGGUGCUGCUGGACCCAGAUGGGAGCCAUGCGGGACUUGACCAUGGCCUGCACACACUUCUUCCCAGGAGAAGGGGAGUGAGGAAGAACCGGCCCCUGGGAUUUGCUGCUCAGGACCCGAGUUCACUGAGACAUCAGGAGCAAGCACUGGAGGCCGGGUGCUGCUGGACCCAGAUGGGAGCCAUGCAGGACUUGACCAUGGCCUGCACACACUUCUUCCCAGGAGAAGGGGAAUGAGGAAGAAAGGCUCAUGGCGUCUAUGUCGUAAAUGAGCUGUGGAUUUGCUAUGCCCCUUCUCUUCAGCAACCCUUAUUUUUCUUGCCUGUACAUCUCUACUGUGGGAAUCACAGGGAAGCUGCUGCAGCACAACUUGAAAUAGAAAGCUGGAUGGUAUGAAUUUAGGACAAGAACAUGAGAAGAAGGGCUCCAGAGAGGAUUCAUUAAGAGCAUUUUCUGCUCUUCCAGAAGCAUCCGAGUUUGGUGUGGGCACCCAAGUCAUUAGGCUCAGAGCUGCUUGGCACCAGGAGAUGUCAGGAAGCUGGUAUAAAUCCUCAUGGGACUUGAAGGGCGAGUGGCCUGAAGUGGGUCACAAGUGAUCAGGGAUUCUCAAACUGCUGUUCCCAGCUUGCAUUUAAAAAUGGGAAAUAACUCAAAAGACAAUUGCAAACUCUCUGCAGUCAAGAUGGCUCCUGCUUGUAAUCUCAGUGUUCAGAAGUACUAUACCUGCUGGAUCCAGAACUGCGGCAGGGUAAGACCAGCCAGGACAAGCCAGUGCCAGGUGGCACAGGUGUUUGGAAAAGGCCUGACGUGUACCCAACUGUGUGAAGGAAUGGGGGACCCAAAACACAGGGCAAAGAAUUAUGCUUCCAUCCACGAGAGCAAAGGUCUGGAUCCCCUAGGGUUGCCACCAGGAUCACCAGAAAGUUUGUUAAAUAGAGAAGCACUUGAUAGAAGGCACCUGGAUAAGGAUGGACAGAAAUCAGAGGCCUUGGCUAUCUGGAUUCUGACUUCUUCAAAAAGAUGAGAUGAUAGAUGAGAAAAGCCCGUCCGUGGUGUUAGAGACUUUGGCCCCACACCCAUGCCGUGCAGCUCUGCCAGGGCCUACCUGCUUGACUCAACCCUUUUUGUUCCCUCACCCUCUCUGGGUAACUGAGAGAUUUAUACCUUGGCUAUCCUGGGAAUGUCUUUCUAAACUAAUAAAAUUGUUCUUGAGUUUCCUUCUGAGUCAUUUCGUAAAUUAUUGUAUUAAUGAGACUAAGAACCUUUAGAAGGGCUCCCAGUUUCCCUGGCAGCAUGUGAUGUUCAAGAUGGGCUCCCCAAAUUUCUCAGAAGAGAAAGACAUGUACAAGAACAGUCCAAAAAGUGAGCAGUUUCUUCUUUUUUAGACAUUUCAGUUUAUGUGUGUGCAUUUAUGUGUGUGUAUGUGUCCACAGCAGACAGAAGAAAACUUUAUUGGCUUCCCUUGAGCUGGAGUUAACUGGGCUCUGUGAGCCACCUGAAAUGGCUACUGAGCUAUAUCAAGUCCCCAUUAUUAGUUGUGUUAUAAGUGGUUUUGGUGCUGCUUUUCUUCGUGAUUAGCGCACGGGGUGGUCCUGGGUAGUUUUCUGUCAACUUGGCAUAAGCUGGAGUCAUCUGAGAGGAAGAAGCCUCAAUGAAGAAAAUGUCUCUUUAAGAUCCAGUGGUAGGCAAGCCUGAGGAAAAUUUCCUUAGUGAUUGAUUGGGAGAAUACCCAGCCCAUUGUGAGGUGUGGCCAUCCCUAGGCUGGUGGUCCUGGGUUGUGUAAGAAAGUCCAGUAAGCAGCACUCCUCCUGCCCUAUGCAUGGGCUCCUGCUUUCUGCCCUGUUUGAGUUCCUGUCUGGAAUUCCUUCAAGUAUGAACAGUAAUAUGGAAGCAUAAAUAAAACCUCUCCUCCCCA